rnacentral:tRNA from 3 species
GGCCAGAUAGCUCAGUUGGUAGAGCAGGGGAUUGAAAAUCCCCGUGUCGGGGGUUCGAUUCCCUCUCUGGCCA